GGCGAACCAGGUGUCCCACCAUCCCGGGAGACGCGGCCGUCCACCCAAGUGCCAGGCACCACAUGUGGGCUCGAGGUCGCAGUGACAUCCCCAGCCCCUCAGAAUCACCUCCAUGUGAGGGAUGUUGGUUUCGUUGACUUUGGGGCACUAGGAGGACGUUUCUUGUGAAGUUCUUGGCUCAGGAGAGAGUACAGUAGAGACUGACCGUAGUUUACCACAUAUAUCACCCACUCCGGGAAGUCCUAAAAGUUUACUUUUCCUGAUAACUGUGUCAUCGCUUCUGGAAGCACCUGGCGAACCGAUGUUAACCCUAGGGGCCCUAGGCUUGGAAGAACCCGUUAUUCUGUCCCAUUGCAAGAAUUUGUUGGGUACCACCGUGGGCUUGUUCCUGCGUAGCAUCUCUCCUGUCGUCUGUCCCCGUUCUCCAGCUCUCUUGUUUUACACUAUACCCCCGUGUCUGUGUGGUGCAUUGUCUCUGUAUGUGCUGCAAAGUUACCAAUACUGACAGUACCAUUUAGCCUGAGACGACCCUGAUGGGGAAUGUCCCUCUGUAUAUGUUUGUCUUAUUGGUUAUUGAAUAAAACACUGUUGGGCCAAUAAGGCAGGAAGACAGGUGGGACUAGAAGAUGAGAAUUCUGGGAAAGGUAAACAGGAGCCUGCCAUAGUAGAGUUGCUGCCUGAGGAGCAACAGGAUACUUAGCAUUACCAGGGAAGGCAUGGUGGAGCAGCAGAAUUCAUUACAUGGAGUACCAGGAAGCAGAGAACAAGACAAGAAGCUUCUAGACAUAAUAUGCAUCCAAGGACCCACCCGAGUAGCCAACUAUCCCCAGUCUUUCCCCACCUCUCAAAGUUCUGCAACUUUCAAAAGUUGUGUCACAAGUCAGGAACAAGCAUUUAAACUGUGAGCUGUGGAUUCAUAGCCUAGUACCAAGGCUGACUUGAACUCACCAUCAUCCUACCUUUGCCCCCAGGGUUCUAUGAUUAAG
rnacentral:lncRNA from 1 species